rnacentral:rRNA from 1 species
GACGUAGGGGGCAAGCGUUGUCCGGAAUCAUUGGGCGUAAAGAGCGUGUAGGCGGCUCGGUAAGUCCGCUCUGAAAGCCCGGGGCUCAACCCCGGGAGGCGGGCGGAUACUGUCGGGCUAGAGUCCGGAAGAGGCGAGUGGAAUUCCUGGUGUAGCGGUGAAAUGCGUAGAUAUCAGGAGGAACACCAAUGGCGAAGGCAGCUCGCUGGGACGGUACUGACGCUGAGACGCGAAAGCGUGGGGAGCAAACAGG